rnacentral:rRNA from 1 species
UGAGGAAUAUUGGUCAAUGGGCGCAAGCCUGAACCAGCCAUGCCGCGUGCAGGAUGAAGCAUCUAUGGUGUGUAAACUGCUUUUGUACGGGAAGAAACCACCCCUCGUGAGGGGUAUUGACGGUACCGUAAGAAUAAGGAUCGGCUAACUCCGUGCCAGCAGCCGCGGUAAUACGGAGGAUCCAAGCGUUAUCCGGAAUCAUUGGGUUUAAAGGGUCCGUAGGCGGGCCGAUAAGUCAGUGGUGAAAUCUCAUAGCUUAACUAUGAAACUGCCAUUGAUACUGUCGGUCUUGAGUAAAUUAGAGGUAGCUGGAAUAUGUAGUGUAGCGGUGAAAUGCUUAGAUAUUACAUGGAAUACCAAUUGCGAAGGCAGGUUACUACUUGUGGAUUGACGCUGAUGGACGAAAGCGUGGGGAGCGAACA